rnacentral:misc_RNA from 1 species
GAUGAAGAACGUAGCGAAAUGCGAUAAGUAAUGUGAAUUGCAGAAUUCAGUGAAUCAUCGAAUCUUUGAACGCACAUUGCGCCUGCCAGUAUUCUGGCGGGCAUGCCUGUUCGAGCGUCAUUUCAACCAUCAAGCCCUGCUUGCGUUGGGGUCCUGCGGCUGCCCGCAGGCCCUGAAAACCAGUGGCGGGCUCGCUAGUCACACCGAGCGCAGUAAUACAUCUCGCUUUGGGCGUGCGGCGGGUUCUUGCCGUUAAACACCCCCUUUUUACCAAGGUUGACCUCGGAUCAGGUAGGAAUACCCGCUGAACUUAAGCAUAUCAAUAAGCGGAGGA